UGUUCUGUGACGUAGUUGGUUAAAGCGCAGGUCUAGCGAAAACGGAGUUGUGGGUUCAAAUCCCACCAGAACUC
rfam:Aedes albopictus isolate Foshan contig79281, whole genome shotgun sequence.